rnacentral:sRNA from 1 species
GCCGGGUGUGGUGGCGCACACCUGUCGUCCCAGCGGCUCGGGAGGCUGAGACAGGAGGAUCGCGAGUUCAAAGCCAGUUUCAGCAACUCAGCAAGGCCUAAGCAACUCAGUGAGACCCUGUCUCUC